GAUGAACGCUGGCGGCGUGCCUAAUACAUGCAAGUAGAACGCAGUUGCGAACGGGUGAGUAACGCGUAGGUAACUGCCUCAUCGCGGGGGAUAACUAUUGGAAACGAAAGCUAAUACCGCAUACUGUGAGAUGGACAUGCGUUGUAUUGUCUAGUUGGUGAGGUCAAGGCUCACCAAGGCGACGAUACAUAGCCGACCUGAGGGGGUGAUCGGCCACACUGGGACUGCGACCCGGCCCAGGCUCCUACGGCAGGCAGAGGUAGGGAAUCGUCGGCAAUGGACGGAAGUCUGACCGAGCAACGCCCCGUGAGUGUAGAAGGUUUUCGGUUCGUAAAGCUCUGUUGUUAGAGAUGCGGUAUCUAACCAGAAAGGGUCGGCUAACUACGUGCCAGCAGCCGCGGUAAUAC
rnacentral:rRNA from 1 species